rnacentral:rRNA from 1 species
AGUUGUCGGGUCUUAAUUGACUUGGUAACGCAGCUAACGCGUGAAGUAGACCGCCUGGGGAGUACGGUCGCAAGAUUAAAACUCAAAGGAAUUGACGGGGACCCGCACAAGCGGUGGAUGAUGUGGAUUAAUUCGAUGCAACGCGAAAAACCUUACCUACCCUUGACAUGGCUGGAAUCCUCGAGAGAUUGAGGAGUGCUCGAAAGAGAACCAGUACACAGGUGCUGCAUGGCUGUCGUCAGCUCGUGUCGUGAGAUGUUGGGUUAAGUCCCGCAACGAGCGCAACCCUUGUCAUUAGUUGCUACGAAAGGGCACUCUAAUGAGACUGCCGGUGACAAACCGGAGGAAGGUGGGGAUGACGUCAAGUCCUCAUGGCCCUUAUGGGUAGGGCUUCACACGUCAUACAAUGGUACAUACAGAGCGCCGCCAACCCGCGAGGGGGAGCUAAUCGCAGAAAGUGUAUCGUAGUCCGGAUUGUAGUCUGCAACUCGACUGCAUGAAGUUGGAAUCGCUAGUAAUCGCGGAUCAGCAUGUCGCGGUGAAUACGUUCCCGGGUCUUGUACACACCGCCCGUCACACCAUGGGAGCGGGUUUUACCAGAAGUAGGUAGCUUAACCGUAAGGAGGGCGCUA